GAUGAACGCUGGCGGCGUGCCUAAUACAUGCAAGUCGAGCGAACGGACGAGAAGCUUGCUUCUCUGAUGUCAGCGGCGGACGGGUGAGUAACACGUGGAUAACCUACCUAUAAGACUGGGAUAACUUCGGGAAACCGUAGCUAAUACCGGAUAAUAUUUUGAACCGCAUGGUUCAAUAGUGAAAGACGGUCUUGCUGUCACUUAUAGAUGGAUCCGCGCUGCAUUAGCUAGUUGGUAAGGUAACGGCUUACCAAGGCAACGAUGCAUAGCCGACCUGAGAGGGUGAUCGGCCACACUGGAACUGAGACACGGUCCAGACUCCUACGGGAGGCAGCAGUAGGGAAUCUUCCGCAAUGGGCGAAAGCCUGACGGAGCAACGCCGCGUGAGUGAUGAAGGUCUUCGGAUCGUAAAACUCUGUUAUUAGGGAAGAACAUAUGUGUAAGUAACUGUGCACAUCUUGACGGUACCUAAUCAGAAAGCCACGGCUAACUACGUGCCAGCAGCCGCGGUAAUACGUAGGUGGCAAGCGUUAUCCGGAAUUAUUGGGCGUAAAGCGCGCGUAGGCGGUUUUUUAAGUCUGAUGUGAAAGCCCACGGCUCAACCGUGGAGGGUCAUUGGAAACUGGAAAACUUGAGUGCAGAAGAGGAAAGUGGAAUUCCAUGUGUAGCGGUGAAAUGCGCAGAGAUAUGGAGGAACACCAGUGGCGAAGGCGACUUUCUGGUCUGUAACUGACGCUGAUGUGCGAAAGCGUGGGGAUCAAACAGGAUUAGAUACCCUGGUAGUCCACGCCGUAAACGAUGAGUGCUAAGUGUUAGGGGGUUUCCGCCCCUUAGUGCUGCAGCUAACGCAUUAAGCACUCCGCCUGGGGAGUACGACCGCAAGGUUGAAACUCAAAGGAAUUGACGGGGACCCGCACAAGCGGUGGAGCAUGUGGUUUAAUUCGAAGCAACGCGAAGAACCUUACCAAAUCUUGACAUCCUUUGACAACUCUAGAGAUAGAGCCUUCCCCUUCGGGGGACAAAGUGACAGGUGGUGCAUGGUUGUCGUCAGCUCGUGUCGUGAGAUGUUGGGUUAAGUCCCGCAACGAGCGCAACCCUUAAGCUUAGUUGCCAUCAUUAAGUUGGGCACUCUAAGUUGACUGCCGGUGACAAACCGGAGGAAGGUGGGGAUGACGUCAAAUCAUCAUGCCCCUUAUGAUUUGGGCUACACACGUGCUACAAUGGACAAUACAAAGGGCAGCGAAACCGCGAGGUCAAGCAAAUCCCAUAAAGUUGUUCUCAGUUCGGAUUGUAGUCUGCAACUCGACUACAUGAAGCUGGAAUCGCUAGUAAUCGUAGAUCAGCAUGCUACGGUGAAUACGUUCCCGGGUCU
rnacentral:rRNA from 1 species